AUACGUAGGGAGCGAGCGUUGUCCGGAAUUACUGGGCGUAAAGGGCGCGUAGGCGGCGCUUCAAGUCGUCUGUCAAAUGGAAGGGCUUAACCCUUUUUCGCAGACGAAACUGGAGAGCUUGAGAAGCAGAGAGGCAAACAGAAUUCCUGGUGUAGCGGUGAAAUGCGUAGAUAUCAGGAAGAAUACCAGUGGCGGAGGCGGUUUGCUGGCUGAAUACUGACGCUGAAGCGCGAAAGCCAGGGGAGCGAACGGGAUUAGAUACCCCGGUAGUCCUGGCAGUAAACGAUGUAUGCGGGGUGUGAGACUAGCGAUAGUUUCGUGCCGAAGUUAACGCGAUAAGCAUACCGCCUGGGGAGUACGGUCGCAAGAUUGAAACUCAAAUGAAUUGACGGGG
rnacentral:rRNA from 1 species